rnacentral:rRNA from 1 species
CCUACGGGUGGCAGCAGUGGGGAAUAUUGGACAAUGGGCGCAAGCCUGAUCCAGCAAUGCCGCGUGUGUGAAGAAGGCCUGCGGGUUGUAAAGCACUUUAAGCAGGAAAGAAGGGGUGGGAGUUAAUACCUUUCAUCAUUGACGUUACCUGCAGAAUAAGCACCGGCUAACUCCGUGCCAGCAGCCGCGGUAAUACGGAGGGUGCAAGCGGUAAUCGGAAUGAGCGGGCGUGGUGUGAGCAUAGCCGGGUGAAAGCCCCGGGCUUAACCUGGGAACUGCGGUGGAUACUGUCGGGCUAGAGUGUGGUAGAGGGGAGUGGAAUUUCCGGUGUAGCAGUGAAAUGCGUAGAGAUCGGAAGGAACACCAGUGGCGAAGGCGGCUCCCUGGACUAACACUGACGCUGAGGUGCGAAAGCGUGGGGAGCAAACAGGAUUAGAUACCCCUGUAGUC